rnacentral:rRNA from 1 species
ACAAGCGGUGGAGUAUGUGGUUUAAUUCGAUGCAACGCGAAGAACCUACCUGGUCUUGACAUCCCGGAGACCCUUAGGAAACUAGGGGGUGGCUUCCAUCUGGAAGAAUCUGGAGACAGGUGCUGCAUGGCUGUCGUCAGCUCGUGUCGUGAGAUGUUGGGUUAAGUCCCGCAACGAGCGCAACCCUUGCCUUUAGUUGCCAGCAGUUCGGCUGGGCACUCUAAAGGGACUGCCGGUGUUAAACCGGAGGAAGGUGGGGAUGACGUCAAGUCCUCAUGGCCUUUAUGACCAGGGCUACACACGUACUACAAUGGCCGAUACAAAGGGCAGCGACACUGCGAGGUGAAGCCAAUCCCGUAAAAUCGGUCUCAGUCCGGAUUGGAGUCUGCAACUCGACUCCAUGGAGUUGGAAUCGCUAGUAAUCGUGGAUCAGCAUGCCACGGUGAAUACGUUCCCGGGCCUU